rnacentral:rRNA from 1 species
AGCGAACGCUGGCGGCAGGCCUAACACAUGCAAGUCGAACGAAGUCUUCGGACUUAGUGGCGGACGGGUGAGUAACACGUGGGAACGUACCUUUUGGUUCGGAACAACUCAGGGAAACUUGAGCUAAUACCGGAUGAGCCCUUAGGGGGAAAGGUUUAUCGCCGAAAGAGCGGCCCGCGUUAGAUUAGCUAGUUGGUGAGGUAAAGGCUCACCAAGGCUACGAUCUAUAGCUGGUCUGAGAGGAUGAUCAGCUACACUGGGACUGAGACACGGCCCAGACUCCUACGGGAGGCAGCAGUGGGGAAUCUUGCGCAAUGGGCGAAAGCCUGACGCAGCCAUGCCGCGUGAAUGAUGAAGGUCUUAGGAUUGUAAAAUUCUUUUACCAGGGACGAUAAUGACGGUACCUGGAGAAAAAGCCCCGGCUAACUUCGUGCCAGCCGCCGCCGUAAAAC